rnacentral:tRNA from 1 species
ACUUUUAAAGGAAAGUAGUU